GGGAAUUGUCAGUUGUGGCUAAAACUCAACAACCGUUCCACAUUCAGCAUCACAUUGCCCAGGCCGGUCCAAGCAGAUUCAAAAUAGAUUUCACAGGGUUUAGGAGCAAAGACCUGAUGGAUGAUUUCAGCGGAGCGGUGACACCAGAAGUUGCAGGUACGAGCUCCGUGCCAUCAGCUAACACAACACCUGCAUGAACAGAUGGGAAAAAUGAACUCCAAGGCUCAGGGCUUGACAUAAUAUGCACUCCUGUGCACAGGGCGAUAGAGCCGAAUAAGGUGGCGGGAACAACACCUGUUAGCCUGAACAGGGAGAUCGCGACACAAGAGUUGGACGUACGUGAGGAGAUGGAGGAGGCAGCAAUCAAC